CCCCCCUUUUCCAUUCCCCCCUUCCCACACACCCUGUCACACACACGCAGACAGCCACACGCACACACAGACACAGAAACAUAAAAUGUGAGGGCAGAUAAGAACCAUUCAGCCCAUCUAGUCUGCCCAGACAGUCACACAUAGGCAGUCACACACACAGAGGCAGACAGUCACACAUAGGCAGUCACACACACAGAGGCAGACAGUCACACAUAGGCAGUCACACACACAGGCGGACAGUCAUACACACAGGCAGACAAUCACACAGUUACCUCUGUUCCUUGUGGAGGCAGAAAGGCAGUGCAGCUCCUGGAUUCUGGUUGUUGGGGGAAGCAGGGACUCCUUCCUGCUUCCCUUGCAGCAGUUACACAGCACUUUUAGCUCCACCCCUGCCAUACACUAAGCCCCGACCCACCACAUGAUAAGCCCCGCCGCAAUUUUUUUUUUUUUU